UUAAGUCAUGUCGGGAGAGAUCGGCCGCAAGGCCGGCGCCGAAGGAGCAACCGCCCCGGAAACUCUCAGGCAAACGGACCGCGUGACUUGA
rnacentral:ncRNA from 1 species